rnacentral:rRNA from 1 species
AGAACGAACGCUGGCGGCAUGCCUAAUACAUGCAAGUCGAACGAACACUUCGGUGUUAGUGGCGCACGGGUGCGUAACGCGUGGGAAUCUGCCCUUGGGUUCGGAAUAACAGUUGGAAACGACUGCUAAUACCGGAUGAUAUCGAAAGAUCAAAGAUUUAUCGCCCAGGGAUGAGCCCGCGUAGGAUUAGCUAGUUGGUGAGGUAAAGGCCUACCAAGGCGACGAUCGGUAGCUGGUCUGAGAGGACGACCAGCCACACUGGGACUGAGACACGGCCCAGACUCCUACGGGAGGCAGCAGUGGGGAAUAUUGGACAAUGGGCGCAAGCCUGAUCCAGCAAUUCCGCGUGGGUGAAGAAGGUCUUCGGAUUGUAAAGUCCCGUUUCGACGGGGACGAGUGAUUGACGGUACCCGUAGAACGAAGCCCCGGACUAACUUCGUCGCCAGCACGCCGC